AGUGAACGCUGGCGGUAGGCCUAACACAUGCAAGUCGAACGGCAGCACAGUAAGAGCUUGCUCUUACGGGUGGCGAGUGGCGGACGAGUGAGGAAUACAUCGGAAUCUACUUUUUCGUGGGGGAUAACGUAGGGAAACUUACGCUAAUACCGCAUACGACCUACGGGUGAAAGCAGGGGAUCUUCGGACCUUGCGCGAUUGAAUGAGCCGAUGUCGGAUUAGCUAGUUGGCGGGGUAAAGGCCCACCAAGGCGACGAUCCGUAGCUGGUCUGAGAGGAUGAUCAGCCACACUGGAACUGAGACACGGUCCAGACUCCGACGGGAGGCAGCAGUGGGGAAUAUUGGACAAUGGGCGCAAGCCUGAUCCAGCCAUACCGCGUGGGUGAAGAAGGCCUUCGGGUUGUAAAGCCCUUUUGUUGGGAAAGAAAAGCAGCAGGUUAAUACCCCGCUGUUCUGACGGUACCCAAAGAAUAAGCACCGGCUAACUUCGUG
rnacentral:rRNA from 1 species